rnacentral:misc_RNA from 1 species
GUUUCACGAGUGUGAAGCAUUAUUAUUCUAUAGAAGUCGUAUAAAAUGUCACGUCGCUGGGCUCAGGAAAAUAAUGGAAUAAAAAGGACCUGCCUUGUCUGUUUCCUCUCUUUCUUUCUUUCUUUCUGAUUAAAGUAGAGAGAAGAGAACCAAACGGACGGGAGGAGGAAAUGGGUGUGGGUGAGGUUGAUGAAUGGUGAUAAGGCUGUGGGGGAAUGUAAUAAAUAAUGAACUAAAUUUGUGUCUCGUCCUUUGGUUUACUUAGUACCAUAAUUCAG